rnacentral:rRNA from 1 species
UUAAAGUCUGGCCUGCCCAAUGAUUAAUUUAAUGGCCGCGGUAUUUUAACCGUGCAAAGGUAGUAUAAUCAUUAGUUUUUUAAUUGAAAACUGGAAUGAAUGGUUUGACGAGAAAUUAUUUGUCUCUUGUUUAUAAAUUGAAUUUUAUUUAUAAGUUAAAAAGCUUAUAUGAUUUUAAAAGACGAGAAGACCCUAUAGAGUUUUAUAUAAAUUGAAAAUUUUUUAAUUUUGAGUUUAUAUUUUGUUGGGGAGAUAGAAAAAUUUAAAAAACUUUUUUUUUAUUUAUUUACUUAUAAGUAUAAAUUUGAUCUUUAAUUUAUGAUUAAAAGAUUAAAUUACCUUAGGGAUAACAGCGUAAUUUAUUUUUAGAGUUCUUAUCAAAAAAUUUUUUUGCGACCUCGAUGUUGGAUUAAAAUUUAAUUAUAAUGAAGAAGUUAUAAUUUUGUCCGUGCUUGGAUUAAAAUUUAAUUAUAAUGAAGAAGUUAUAAUUUUGUCCGUGCUGGAUUAAAAUUUAAUUAUAAUGAAGAAGUUAUAAUUUUGUCCGUGCUUGGAUUAAAAUUUAAUUAUAAUGAAGAAGUUAUAAUUUUGUCCGUGC